AACGAACGCUGGCGGCAUGCCUAACACAUGCAAGUCGAACGAUACCUUCGGGUCUAGUGGCGCACGGGUGCGUAACGCGUGGGAACCUGCCCUUAGGUUCGGAAUAACUCCCCGAAAGGGGUGCUAAUACCGGAUAAUGUCUUCGGACCAAAGAUUUAUCGCCUUUGGAUGGGCCCGCGUUGGAUUAGCUAGUUGGUAGGGUAAAAGCCUACCAAGGCGACGAUCCAUAGCUGGUCUGAGAGGAUGAUCAGCCACACUGGGACUGAGACACGGCCCAGACUCCUACGGGAGGAAGCAGUGGGGAAUAUUGGACAAUGGGCGAAAGACUGAUCCAGCAAUGCCGCGUGAGUGAUGAAGGCCUUAGGGUUGUAAAGCUCUUUUACCCGGGAUGAUAAUGACAGUACCGGGAGAAUAAGCGCCGGCUAACUCCGUG
rnacentral:rRNA from 1 species